AGCGAACGCUGGCGGCAGGCUUAACACAUGCAAGUCGAGCGGGCAUCCAUGUGGUGUCAGCGGCAGACGGGUGAGUAACGCGUGGGAACGUGCCCUUCGGUUCGGAAUAACUCAGGGAAACUUGAGCUAAUACCGGAUACGUGCGAGAACAGAAAGGUUUAUCUGCCGAAGGAUCGGCCCGCGUCUGAUUAGCUAGGUGGUGAGGUUAUGGCUCACCAAUGCGACGAUCAGUAGCUGGUCUGAGAGGAUGAUCAGCCACACUGGGGCUGAGACACGGCCCAGAAUCCUACGGGAGGCAGCAGUGGGGAAUACUGGAAAAUGGGGGCAACGCUGAUCCAGCCAGGCCGGGUGAGUGAUGUUGGUCUUAGGGUUGUAAAGCUCUUUUCUCCGGGACGAUAAUGACGGUACCGGAGGAAUAAGCCCCGGCUAACUUCGUG
rnacentral:rRNA from 1 species